rnacentral:tRNA from 1 species
CCACCCGUAGCUCAGCGGUAGAGCACUCAGGCCUUAAUGCCUGAGAUGUCGAGGGUUCAAAUCCCUCCGGGGGCU